UUUUUCUCUCUCCUCUCUUAAUUUCCCUGGUACUUCCAUUUCCACCAUUAUUUCUCUGCUCUGCUGUUUCUUUUUUUUUGUUAUUUCGUUCAAACCCAUCACAGAAAAGUAUGAGGAUUUGAUUUAUUUGAAUCAAAUGAUAAAGAAAACUAUUGCUGCAGAGAUUUACAAUACAAGGUUUGAUUUUGAUUUUGAUGAAAGAAGAAGGAAACAAAAGAUUAUAUGAUUUAUUAUUAUUGUUACGAAAUUCAUUAGAGUUCGGUUAGGGUUUUGAUGUCUUGAAGAAUUGAGGUUUCAAAUGAAAACUGAAAUUAGGGUUUCGAUUAAGCUCGUGAAAUUUGAUUCAAUAAGGGUUUCAGUUGAGAUUCAAUGGGGGUUUAAGUUGAGAUUCAUGACACAAUCGAUUUAAUUUGAGUUGAUGGCAUACUCGAUUGAAUAUGGGUUUCAGGUUUUAGUUAAAAUUUCAAUUUGGGUUCAUGACCCUUCGAUAUCAAAUGCUCAGAUUUUGCUACUUAGAUUAGACAUGGGUUUUGAUAAAUUAGGGGUUUAAUUCUGGUGGUGUACGGUGUGAACAAUAAGAAGAAUUAGAAGUUGGGUCUUGUUUGAUUGAUAAUGGUGACAGAGAAGAAUGUAAGGAUUUUAUUGCUUUUAUGGUCGCUGCUUUUGGUUGUGAUGUUCAAUAAUCAGUAGUCGAGAAGCAAAAAUGGUGAAUCAAAUGGAGACAUGAAUCUCAGCAAGAAGAACAAGUUGGUAAUUUUGUAAAUGUUAGGAAAAAUAAAGGUUGUGAUAAUAAACUGUUUAAUAAAAAAAAUUAUAUAAUUUUUUUUAA